AUAGUAAAGCCCACGGUAAAGCCAAUGCCUCGUAAAGCAUGGUAAAGCCACGGCAAAGCCAUAGAGAAACCAAAGCCAUGGGCCCAUGGCCCUACCAUGGUAAAAACUAGAACAGCCGUACAGCGUUGGUCAGCAUCAGCAUUGCGGAAAACGUCAUGGAGGGGCUUUAGUUGACGAUGUGGAAGUUAGCAAGGCCCCCUCAUGUUCGUAACAGAACGUGUUUGCCUCGUUCGCUGGCUUUCGAAGAAAAUACUUUCCUCUGGCUGGCGCGGCAAAGGGCAGUGUAUUGACGUUGGACUGAGAACAAAUUGCAGCAGCGCCAACGAGACUCUUCAGGCCGAAGCGGGAACAUUGCGGUCACUGAAUCAACUGAGGCAAGUGUUAGACAGAAUGAAGUAAACUUCAACAUGCGAUCCUCCUGCAAAAUUUCAGCAAGAACAGUACAGCGAGUCUGAAAGGUUUUCAUGCUGCAUUGGUUGGACUGUGCGGAUAUCGGUGCACUGGCAGCGUCGUCCCAGUGUGGGCAAAGUUAUCGUCGACACGGCAUGAAACCGCGUCAUUGUUCACCAACUCUCAAAUUUAACAAAAUAAAAAUUUUUUCUGACUGCCCGAUAAUAUGGAAAUCUUUACAGCCCCUUCUGUGUAAGAAAAAUCGGACGGCAGCUGUAUUCAUCUGCAAAAAGGUUGAAUUUCAGUAUAAUGAAACUUCGACGAAACGAAGUAAAGUGCCGAUUUUACUGACUCUGUUAUAUCGAGGUUCAACUGCCUCCUUUACAUCCUAUUAUACUCGUUAUAAGCGUCAA